AUUAGGAUCAUCCUGUCCAUUCAAUGUAAUCUGACGAUCUUCGCUCUCACAAUCAACGUUGGAUCAAGUCAUCCCUCCACCUUUCCUUGUUCGCCGCUAAUUCCGUAUCAAAUAACAAUCAAUGCAAAUUAAUUCCUUGCUGCCUAUGACACUCCCGAAAAGAAUCUUACCAUGUAUCAUCAAUGAUGAAGAUCGGGUCUUUCCUCCUUGAUUGUUCGUGUGGUUAAUUCUCCCGAGAAAAUCAUGGUAUAUGCCUUGGCUCAUGGAUCUGAUCUCCACUUAAUUUCCUUCCCUGUAUUCUUCAGCCAGAUUCAAUUUUCUCGUCCACGCCAUCCUAUGUGCCAUGGCAGCUUCCGUCACAUACCUCUCCCUCUCUGCCCUCAAGCGCUACUGCAUCAGCUUCAUGCCGGUACCACCGCUUCACCAAUCCCCGUGUGUCGCCCUCCCCUGCGCUGUGUCGGCAGUGGGCCGGCGGCCGCCCCUCUCCCAGCUUGCUUUGAGCCACCGGCGCCCCUGUCCUGUCUCUUCGCGGGCGGGUGCACUCUGCCGGCAUCGGGCCGGCGGCCUUGCCCUACUCCGCCUCGCUUUGGGCCGGCGGCGUCCCUGUGGCCAUGUCCUGUUGCUUCGGGGCGUCCUACCUGACCUCUGCAAAAUCCUCUUACCCGAGGAGCUCGACACUGCCAGCAUACCUAGCGUCGGCGCAGAGGAAACCUGCGAGGGGAAGAAGAUCGAGAGGACGAGAUACUUCGUCACACGGAACGGGUUCAGGAGGGCAACGUCGUCCAGAUCGUGGCCUCAAUGAGGGAGAGUGUAACAGUCCGCAGCCACCGGCCAUGCCGUGAUGUGAGCGAGGGACAAGAUACAUAGGAUCUUGGGAAAACAUGAGAAGGAAGAAGAUGGAGUAGAGUUUCAGAUUUUCAUUCAGUUUUAUUCUGAACUUACAACGCAGGCACAGCUGGGCAUAUAACCACUUCCACCUGACAGUUGGGUUCGACAGACAGACACACACACAAUUGUGCAUUCCCCAAUUGAUAACCAUUUUACGGCUUCGGAUCCUGCAUCACUGCAAUCAUCGACAAAGAUGUCAGUGUACCAUCUAUCUUUUCCCUUAAUCUUGGCGGUAAUAAAAGGUGGAAUCAAACGAGGUAGAAGUUACUGCCACCGGGCGAUGAUUAAUCACAGCAACAUGUGUAGUACUAUGAACUACAUCAAAGAAUGUAUGCUAUAUAUUGUACUAUCUCUUUGUUCGAUUUGGUUCAAAAUAGCGUCAGUUCUUUUCUA